rnacentral:rRNA from 1 species
AGUAAAAGUCGUAACAAGGUUUCCGUAGGUGAACCUGCGGAAGGAUCAUUUCCACACCUAAAAAACUUUCCACGUGAGCCGUAUCAACCCAAUGAAUAGGGGGUUUAUUUGGCGGCGGCUGCUGGCAUUUUUUUGCUGGCUGGCUACUGCUGAGCGAACCCUGAGAAGGUGAAUGUUCCGACUUUGGUUGGAAUUAGUAGCUUGAAUUGCAAACCCUUUCUUAAAUACUGAAUAUACCGUGGGGACGAAAGUCUCUGCUUUUAACUAGAUAGCAACUUUCAGCAGUGGAUGUCUAGGCUCGCACAUCGAUGAAGAACGCUGCGAACUGCGAUACGUAAUGCGAAUUGCAGGAUUCAGUGAGUCAUCGAAAUUUUGAACGCAUAUUGCACUCUCGGGGUAUUCCUGGGAGUAUGCCUGUAUCAGUGUCCGUACAUCAAACCUGGUUUUCUUCUUUCCGCGUAGUCGGUGGAGGAUAUGCCAGAUAUAAAGUGUCUUGUAGCUGGUUUUCGAAUCGGCAGCGAGUCCUUUGAAAUGUAUAGAACUGACUCUCUUUGUUCGAAAAGCGUGGCGUUGCUGGUUGUGAAGGCUGUCCGUGUGGCUAGUCGGCGACCGGUUUGUCUGCUAUGGUAAAUGGA